GGGCAAUGUUGGGGGUGCACGUGUCUAACCCUGGGCCUGAGUUAUAUACUGGCGGAGGAAGCCCGCCUCCCGCAGACUGGCCCAAGGUUUCAUCUAACACACGUAUAGAGGAAGAUGUUGUGAAGACACAUAGGAGAACACCAUGUGAAGAUGGAGGACUGCCCUGAUGCACCCACAAACCAAGGAACGCAGGAGGCCACCAGAAGCUGGAAGAGCGUCCUGGGCCAACAUGAGGCAGCUUAUUAGCAUGACUGGGUGGUAUGAUGUGAUUAGUUAGACUGGGGGCAUGAGACAGGGACUUUCACUACGCCGUAGCCUGCAUAUGUGUAGAGGACAGCCAGAUGUUCUGCGUGUCUGGGAAAGGGGACAAGUGGUCCAUAGAUGAAAGCUGAAAUCUAGAAGCCCAGAUAGAAUAAACACCAUGUAAGAAAUGGA